ensembl:lncRNA
GUGAUUCUCAAAAAAUGACCAACUCUUAUGGACCAGUAAAGCCUCUGGAACAGAUUCCCAGGGGCCACUGCUAACUAGAUCCCUGAGUAGCUUAAAGUUUUCUCCCUUAAUGUCCAGAAUAGUAAUUCUGCCAAUUUUUUUUCUCCUUACACCAAAAAUGUUGAACUCAACUGUUUUAUGAGCACUGUGGCCAGGACAGCCACCUACCACCACCUCUCCCACAAGAUCUUCUCUAUUCUCAAACAGCAAAUUCCUAGUUGUCUCACCCAGUGCUUGUGAUUGGAAGUUACCUUCAACAUGCUUUAGGAAUUUCCCAGGCUUGUUUAUCAUAUGGCAGCAGAGGGGCGAUCUGACACAGUGGUGUCUGACGUGGAAGUGCAUGUGGAGCAAAGGUGUGGAACUGUAUUCCUUCAUGUGAAAAUAAUGGUGCCCAUUGACAUUCAUCAACGCUUGCUGAACAUACAAGGAGAC